GUCUCUUUGAAAAUUAAUAAUAGAGAGUUUGGCCUGCUCAGUGAGAUUUUUAACAGCUGCGGUAUUAUAACUGUACUAAGGUAGCAUAAUAAUUUGCCUUAUAAAUUAGGGCUAGAAUGAAUGGUUUGACGAAAAUUAUACUGUCUCUAUCUUAAUUGAUAGAAAUUAAUUUUUAUAGUGAAAAAGCUUAAAUGGUUUAAAGGGACGAGAAGACCCUAUUGAGCUUUAUACUAGUUAUAAUAAAAUAUAGUUUAUUUAGUUAAACUAAUUAUUAUAUUUAUUAUGUUUAGUUUUGGUUGGGGUGAUCAAGGAAUAAGAUAAGAAAUACAUAACUUCCUUAAAAGAAUAAUUUUUUAGAAUAAUUAACCAAUGAUAUUGCUUUUAUGAUAAGUUACCAUAGGGAUAACAGCGUAAUUUUUUUGGAGAGUUCAUAUUAAAAAAAGAGAUUGCGACCUCGAUGUUGGAUUAAAAUAACCAUAGGGUGAAGAGGCUUUAUAUGGUGAAUCUGUUCGAUUUUUAAAAUUUU
rnacentral:rRNA from 1 species